rnacentral:rRNA from 1 species
UGCGAGUGAAGCGGGAAAAGCUCAAAUUUAAAAUCUGGCAGUCUUUGGCUGUCCGAGUUGUAAUCUAGAGAAGUGUUGCCCACACUGGACCGUGUAUAAGUCUUCUGGAAUGAAGCGUCAUAGAGGGUGAGAAUCCCGUCUUUGACAUGGACUCCCAGUGUAUUGUGGCGUGCUCUCAAAGAGUCGAGUUGUUUGGGAAUGCAGCUCUAAAUGGGUGGUAACCUCCAUCUAAAGCUAAAUAUUGGCGAGAGACCGAUAGUGAACAAGUACCGUGAGGGAAAGAUGAAAAGAACUUUGGAAAGAGAGUUAAACAGUACGUGAAAUUGUUGAAAGGGAAACGCUUGAAGUCAGUCACAUUGGCCAGGGAUCAACCCAGCUCUUUUGUUGGGUGUAUUUCCUGGUUUGAUGGGCCAAUGUCAGUUUUGACUGCUAGAGAAGGGCAGAGGGAAUGUGGCACCUUCCGGGGUGUGUUUUAUAGCCUUUUGUCAUAUAUAGCAGUUGGGACUGAGGAAUGCAGCGUGCCUACAAGGCCGGGUUUCGACCACGUUCGCGCUUUGGAUGUUGGCAAUAAUGGCUUUAAUCGACCCGUCUUGAAACACGGACCAAGGAGUCUAACAUAUCUGCGAGUGUUUGGGUGGAAAACCCGAGUGCACAAUGAAAGUGAAAGUUGAGAUCCUUGUCGUGAGGAGCAUCGACGCCCGGACCUGAGCUUUUAGCAAUGGAUCUGCGGUAGAGCAUGUAUGUUGGGACCCGAAAGAUGGUGAACUAUGCCUGAAUAGGGCGAAGCCAGAGGAAACUCUGGUGGAGGCUCGUAGCGAUUCUGACGUGCAAAUCGAUCGUCGAAUUUGGGGUAU